rnacentral:rRNA from 1 species
UACGGGGGGAGCAAGCGUUGUUCGGAUUUACUGGGCGUAAAGAGCGCGCAGGCGGUCGAUCAAGUCGAGUGUGAAAGCCCCCGGCUCAACUGGGGAGGGUCAUUCGAUACUGAUCGACUCGAAGGCAGGAGAGGGUAGUGGAAUUCCCGGUGUAGUGGUGAAAUGCGUAGAUAUCGGGAGGAACACCAGUGGCGAAGGCGGCGAUCUGGACGGUGACUGACGCUGAGACGCGAAAGCGUGGGGAGCAAACAGG